rnacentral:lncRNA from 1 species
ACUCCCUUUUUUGCUAACAUAUCAGCAGCAUUGUUAGCACUUCGUAAGGUAUGCACCACAUUCCACUCUUUGAUUCUCCCUUUCAAGUUUUCAAUCCUAAGCAUCCAUCUCCUAUACUUCCAAGUAGCACGGUUAGGAUUGUUUGACCAUUUCGCUUUCAAACUCAAGAGAGUGAGUUUCAGCCCAUUUUAAAGCAGCAAAAAUUGUGAAAGCCUCGAGAAUAGCUCU